AGAGUUUGAUCAUGGCUCAGAUUGAACGCUGGCGGCAGGCCUAACACAUGCAAGUCGAGCGGUAGCACAGAGAGCUUGCUCUCGGGUGACGAGCGGCGGACGGGUGAGUAAUGUCUGGGAAACUGCCUGAUGGAGGGGGAUAACUACUGGAAACGGUAGCUAAUACCGCAUAACGUCGCAAGACCAAAGUGGGGGACCUUCGGGCCUCAUGCCAUCAGAUGUGCCCAGAUGGGAUUAGCUAGUAGGUGGGGUAACGGCUCACCUAGGCGACGAUCCCUAGCUGGUCUGAGAGGAUGACCAGCCACACUGGAACUGAGACACGGUCCAGACUCCUACGGGAGGCAGCAGUGGGGAAUAUUGCACAAUGGGCGCAAGCCUGAUGCAGCCAUGCCGCGUGUGUGAAGAAGGCCUUCGGGUUGUAAAGCACUUUCAGCGGGGAGGAAGGCGGUAAGGUUAAUAACCUUAUCGAUUGACGUUACCCGCAGAAGAAGCACCGGCUAACUCCGUGCCAGCAGCCGCGGUAAUACGGAGGGUGCAAGCGUUAAUCGGAAUUACUGGGCGUAAAGCGCACGCAGGCGGUCUGUCAAGUCGGAUGUGAAAUCCCCGGGCUCAACCUGGGAACUGCAUUCGAAACUGGCAGGCUAGAGUCUUGUAGAGGGGGGUAGAAUUCCAGGUGUAGCGGUGAAAUGCGUAGAGAUCUGGAGGAAUACCGGUGGCGAAGGCGGCCCCCUGGACAAAGACUGACGCUCAGGUGCGAAAGCGUGGGGAGCAAACAGGAUUAGAUACCCUGGUAGUCCACGCCGUAAACGAUGUCGAUUUGGAGGUUGUGCCCUUGAGGCGUGGCUUCCGGAGCUAACGCGUUAAAUCGACCGCCUGGGGAGUACGGCCGCAAGGUUAAAACUCAAAUGAAUUGACGGGGGCCCGCACAAGCGGUGGAGCAUGUGGUUUAAUUCGAUGCAACGCGAAGAACCUUACCUGGUCUUGACAUCCACAGAACUUAGCAGAGAUGCUUU
rnacentral:rRNA from 1 species